rnacentral:rRNA from 1 species
AAACUGAGGAUAAUACCGGAUAGGCAAUUAUUCCUGUAAUGGUUUUUUGUUUAAAUGUUUUUUCGCCUAAGGAUGAGUCUGCGGCCGAUUAGGUAGUUGGUUAGGUAAUGGCUUACCAAGCCGUUGAUCGGUACGGGUUGUGAGAGCAAGAGCCCGGAGAUGGAACCUGAGACAAGGUUCCAGGCCCUACGGGGUGCAGCAGGCGCGAAACCUCCGCAAUGUGAGAAAUCGCGACGGGGGGAUCCCAAGUGCCAUUCUUAACGGGAUGGCUUUUCAUUAGUGUAAAGAGCUUUUGGAACAAGAGCUGGGCAAGACCGGUGCCAGCCGCCGCGGUAACACCGGCAGCUCUAGUGGUAACAAUUUUUAUUGGGCCUAAAGCGUCCGUAGCCGGUUUAAUAAGUCUCUGGUGAAAUCCUGUAGCUUAACUGUGGGAAUUGCUGGAGAUACUAUUAGACUUGAGACCGGGAGAGGUUAGAGGUACUCUCAGGGUAGAGGUGAAAUUCUGUAAUCCUG